rnacentral:rRNA from 1 species
CUGGAGGUAUCAGAAGUGCGAAUGCUGACAUAAGUAACGAUAAAGCGGGUGAAAAGCCCGCUCGCCGGAAGACCAAGGGUUCCUGUCCAACGUUAAUCGGGGCAGGGUGAGUCGACCCCUAAGGCGAGGCCGAAAGGCGUAGUCGAUGGGAAACAGGUUAAUAUUCCUGUACUUGGUGUUACUGCGAAGGGGGGACGGAGAAGGCUAUGUUGGCCGGGCGACGGUUGUCCCGGUUUAAGCGUGUAGGCUGGUUUUCCAGGCAAAUCCGGAAAAUCAAGGCUGAGGCGUGAUGACGAGGCACUACGGUGCUGAAGCAACAAAUGCCCUGCUUCCAGGAAAAGCCUCUAAGCAUCAGGUAACAUCAAAUCGUACCCCAAACCGACACAGGUGGUCAGGUAGAGAAUACCAAGGCGCUUGAGAGAACUCGGGUGAAGGAACUAGGCAAAAUGGUGCCGUAACUUCGGGAGAAGGCACGCUGAUAUGUAGGUGAAGUCCCUCGCGGAUGGAGCUGAAAUCAGUCGAAGAUACCAGCUGGCUGCAACUGUUUAUUAAAAACACAGCACUGUGCAAACACGAAAGUGGACGUAUACGGUGUGACGCCUGCCCGGUGCCGGAAGGUUAAUUGAUGGGGUUAGCGCA